rnacentral:miRNA from 1 species
UCUCCGGCGGCGUUCUUUGCUG